UUCCCUGUAGCUCAGUUGGUAGAGCAUGGUGUUUGCAACGCCAGGGUUGUGGGUUCGAUUCCCACGGGGGAGC
rfam:Salmo salar isolate Sally breed double haploid chromosome ssa02, whole genome shotgun sequence.